UGUGCCCUGAAUUGCAAGGUCAGAAAAAUGAAUGUCAUAUGAAUUUUAGCAACACCUGUGGGUUAUAUUUAUGCUGCACAUCCCCUGUCUCUCUAUCUCUGGUGCAGCUUUUUCUAGGAAGAGUGUGUUCCUGCUGCAGUCUUGUAUUGUUCCUAGUUAAGGUGACACUUGCUGACACAGCUAUAACAGCAGCAUGCAAGGCACCCACAGAGGUGAGCCACAGCUUGCAUCAAAGAAUCAGAGUUUAAGGCCGGAUAAAAAGAUAAGCACCAGAAAGCUUUGCAGAAAAGAGAAGGGGGGAAAAGAGCGUUUAAAGGUUUAUGUUUGUAACUGCCUGCUGACAAACUAAUGGAUGAGACAUUGUGUCUUUCUGCUGGAGCUGAUGGGCUGUCUCGAAAGGAGCUGCAUGGUGGACUAAGCCAGCAGGUGUACUCCGCCUCCCCUCCUCAGCUGCUUCUGGCUCAGGAGAGGAUGAGCUGUGCUUUACAUAGUCCUGUUGCAUCACUGAGUGGCAUCAAUCAGUUUUCUGAGCUGCAGUGUUUGUUUUUUGUAACAGAUAAUCAUGGGCAGCCUUAGCUAUGUUUCACCUGUUUCAAUUGAAACGGAACCCAUCCUCCCGAAGGGCCCCUGACUGACAUGCAAGAAUCAAGAA